UUUUUCUAAAAACGUGUUAAAAUAAUUAGAAGCAUUUUAAAUGUUAUAAUAGGCUGUAUUCUAAAGUUUGAAACAUUUUAAACGAUUAUUUAGGAGCACUAUUUCUAAUAUUAAUAAUUUAUUUAAUACAUUUAUUAUAUAACAUCUAAAAAACGUUAAGUAACAGUUAAACAUUUUUUUUACAUCAGUAUAAAAUACUAUUUAUGUGUACUUAUAACAUACCCAUAUGUUAUUAAUAAAAAAUUAUAAUCUUACACAUUUAGAAACUAUUGCAGAAAAAAUUAUUUUUAUACAGACUUAAUAUCUCAAUAUCAUUAUCAAUUACAGUAUGUCAUCUUUAGAUCCUUAUUUGGCCAAAGAUUUAACUGAUAGAUUAAACAAAACAGUGAAAGAUAUCAAUGAAAUGCAUAAUUUAUUACUAGGGUCACCAUCACCCAUUGUUAAAUCUGCUGGAUGGAGUGUAAAUGAUGUACAAAACCAACCAUUACCAAUGUUAUUGCAAGAUCCUAUAUUGAAAGCAAUGUACAGCCGAGGAUACUCUGAUGCUUUAAUUAAUAAUCAACAAGUGCAAUCCAUUCAAUUUGUUCAGAAACCAUUAGGUUUUGAAUCAUCGAAUAUGAGUAAUAGGCAUGACAUUUCUAAAAAUGCCUCAAAUAAAUGUGUUGCUUUAAAAUCUAAAACAAAUGUUGUAACUUGUGAACCACUAAGUGAUAAUGACUUUUAUGGAACAUAUACAUAAUUAUAUAUGUAAUGACAAUUGCUAAGAUUGUAAAGAAUUCAGUGUUAUAUGAACAUGGUUUGAAAAAAUUGUCAUUAUAAGCUAAUUUUAUGUUAAAUGAAGAAGUAGAUGCUCUCCAAAAUAACUAAUGGUUUCAAAAAGAACAAAUUUCAAGAGCCAGAAAAAAUUUAAUAUUUAUUAAUAAAUUUGUUGUAUAUAUACUUCUUUUUAGUCGUGCCAAAUAACUAUAUGAAAAUUUUUUUUUUUUACAAUUGCUUGUGUUUCGACAAUUCUAAAUAUAAAAUUAAUUUUAUUAAUAAAUUUAUUUAAGAAUUUAUACUUGUUAUUAAAUAAGUUUUAAAAAAUAAAUAAAAUCACUUGUCUACUUUUUGUACAAU